rnacentral:rRNA from 1 species
AAGAAAGUAAGAAAGGGCGCAUGGGGGAUGCCUAGGCUCUCGGAGGCGAAGAAGGACGUGAUAAGCUGCGAAAAGUUACGGAGAGGCGCAAAU